AGCAGCCGCGGUAAUUCCAGCUCCAAUAGCGUAUAUUAAAGUUGUUGCAGUUAAAAAGCUCGUAGUUGAAUUUCGGGGUUAGUAGAUUGGUCAUGCCGCUGGUAUGUACUUGUCUUACUGAUUCCCUCCUUCCUGAUGAACCGUAAUGCCAUUUAACUUGGUGUUGCGGGGAGACUGGACUGUUACUUUGAAAAAAAUUAGAGUGUUUAAAGCAGGCUAACGCUUGAAUACAUUAGCAUGGAAUAAUGAAAUAGGACGUUCGAUCCUAUUUUGUUGGUUCCUAGGAUUGACGUAAUGAUUAAUAGGGAUAGUUGGGGGGCAUUAGUAUUCAAUUGUCAGAGGUGAAAUUCUUGGAUUUAUUGAAGACUAACUACUGCGAAAGCAUUUGCCAAGGAUGUUUUCAUUAAUCAAGAACGAAAGUUAGGGGAUCGAAGACGAUCAGAUACCGUC
rnacentral:rRNA from 1 species